ACACAUGCGAGUUUUUGCUGGCUUGAGAACAAGCAAGGAAAAAGACAAAUCCCACCUACCCUAGCCUAAAAUACACAGUGAGUCUCAGAACCCCGCGGAAGCUGUGGCUCAUUUCUAAAGGUGCUGGCAAUAUCGAGGAAGACUUGUAUCCACAAAAUUCCAAAUGGUAAGUGACCCAGGACAGAGGGAUUUUAUUUGGCAGCAAAUCUGUGUUGCCACUUUCCUUCCGUUGCAAAGCUUCCCUGUCUUGUGGAGGCAGAGCUGUUAAAUACCUCUUAGUCACUAGCUCCAACCUAUUUUUUUGUUUGUUUGUUUUUCUUUUCAAAAUAUUAUCUGGCACCUUCCCUUAAAGGACAUCAAGGGCUCUGGAGGAAAUAUUUGCAAAUGAUCCUUUAUAGAAGUUCCAUCACAAAAGCCCGGCACCUACCUCUGUCAAGCUUUGGCUGCUCAGUCCGCAUGGGCUGGAUGUGAAAAAAGAUCCCAGUAUGAUGCCUUCUCUAAAUUUACCAGAAAGAAAGGACCUGGGAUGCUUGUCCUUUAAGUGUCUCUAAACAUGGUUUGCAUAGCUGGAUCUCAGCUUAUCUGUGCCUUUCGGCUUUCGCUUCCAUACAUGGAUCUGUUCCCAACAGUAACUCCAAGCUGUCGAAAAGAAGCUAUCUGGCAGCUCUCUGCUUCAUCCAACACAUGGAUGAUAAAAAUACACAUAUAGCGAUUCUUCCAGCCAGGCCCAUUUCCCACCACAUGAUCCUGUCACUAUGCUUUUUUUUUUUUUUUUUUUUCCAAAACACUUUUGAGAUUGGCAUUUCUACUCUCCAAAUAUUUAGAUCAUAACCAAUUUUUACCUGAUUCCCACAUAAAGCUUUUAGGGUGUGGGUUCGCCUAGCUUUAUGAAAACAGAGAGACAAUUAUGGUUCCUUACUAGAGUCUUCAUCCUUAAAGAUUCUAGUGACAGCAUGUAUAUGGGACCUGUGAAAUGUUUAAUGAAUGAAUGAAUUUAUAAACGAAUGGCUGAACAGAUGAAUAACACUGUAUGUGAAUGAAAAACUACGUACUUUACAUAUUUACUUAACUG
rnacentral:lncRNA from 1 species